GAUCGCCGUUGCGCUCGGUCGCCGCCGUCGCCCCCGCCCGGCCGGGCGGGGCCAAACCGCCCACCGCCCAUUGGGCGGGCUGCGGCACGUGACGGGGCAGCCAUGGCGCGCGCCGCUGCGGGCUCUGCGGCGCGUGACGGGCGCGCUCGGCGGCAGCGGAGGGACUGAGCAAAGCCGGGCUGUCCUUGUGCUCUGCGCACACCCUGUCCCCCUCCGAACAACAGCCUGAGCCCAGGAGUCCUGAAGACCAGAGAUACUUUGCUGAACACUUAAGCUGCCCAGUGGAAAAACAAUGAAUUAUCCUUCUGAAGUGGACUCUAAAACUUUAAAACUGUGUCUCUUGUGUCUUGGAUUAUAGGAAUCUGAAUUAAAGAUGCAAAAUCUGAACGAAUUCAGCCUGUGCACAAGUGAUGUGUAUCCGAGCUAUGCAGCGAAACGUCUGUUAGUCACAACUGGAGAACGGCUAAAAUCCAAGCUUCACAUUUGAGUUGCUCGCCUCCCGUUUUGUUUGCAAUACCCCCUGGUCCGUGUGUUUGUGUUAAAUGGGUCCCUGGUGCUUUACAAGCCAGAGCUGACCAGCCUGCAGCUUUGACCGGAGCACUUCCCAGCACAGCACUUAGUUCUGCCCGUCCUCCGUUCAACCUGCUCAGGUCUAAAGAUUCCGUCCAGCCAGCAAGUCACGUCGUUCCAGCUGAUGGGGAUUGCUCUGUGUGCGCCUGUGCUUACCAAAGCGUCACUGCGUGUGCGUGUGCAGUGGUUCUUUUAGGCCUUGUCUCUGGAAAGCUGUGCACAGCAGAACGUCAAAGCUGCAUGAUGGAAUUAGGACAACGACUGUGUUUAGGUGUCAUUAAGUUUGUGACAUAAGAUAAUGUAUCCGCUGAGUCUUUUAAAGAUUGUAGCGUCAUCUAUUGUGCUCAGCUUUUAUUUCAUCAUAUUGCAGUCGAUAUCAGAAGCAGAUGUUCAAAAGCAAUGUAAGUCCCAUCAGUGUAAAGGCAAAGUAACUACACUUAUACAUGUCCCUAAGGAACGUGAGCUUGUGUGUCUCAUCAGCCUUGCCCUCUUUGGUACUCUGGGUAUCCCCUCUUUUCCUGACAGGAACUUUGUCUCAUCGUCUUACGUCCAGUGUUCCUUUCCUGACGCUGGAGAGGUUGACAGCAUCAACAGAGUCCUACAGUGCUCCGGAGCAGAGCAGCUGGACGCCUUCCUGUUGCUCCUGUGAGACCUGAUCUGCCCCUGGGGCUGGGACUGACUGGAUGGACGCCAGUCCUUUCCAUCUGGCCCUUGGGAGAAGACAUUGCAGUUCUAUUUUAUUUGGCUGGUCACAGGCCAGAAGUUACUCUUUGCCAUUCCACCAUUUGGUGGUGUUGAAUUCCACAUCGUUUUCAUUUUCUUUGACAAAAGUGAAAUGAAAAUUUAAUUCUUACACUUUCUGUGGCCAUUCUGAAGUAGGUUUCAGCCAUGUUUCUGACUCUUGCUCUUUGAUGUCCCUUGGCCAAGUCUUGAAAGGAUUAUGUCAUUGUUCACUGGCCCUCUGAGCUGCCUGAUCUUACUCCAAGGAGUAAUGAAAUUAAUUGACCUUUUGCAAAACAGCGUCUGGAUCACACCACAGCUCUACCUCGGCCACAGCAGAGCGUUUCUUCGGUGGGAAGCUGCCGGUGGAUGGAGGGAUUGUAUGCUCUGUUUCCUUGUACACUGCUGCUGCAAACUGCCGAGUUCCUCGGUGCUUUUGGGAUGGAAGUCUUGCACAUUCACAUUUAUGCUCUUUUGGGCAAGUGUUUUGUCUUGAAAACUCUCUCUCCAAACUUUGUUUAAACAGCUCUAGAUCUCACUGAUCAUGACAGGCAACUCCCCCUUUUUUCCCAUCUGCUACCAGCACCAUUUCCUGAGGUGCUGUUCAGCACCGGGGGCUCUGCAGCCCUCUUAUGUGAACAGGCAGAACAUGUCUGGCUUCUGAAGUGUCGUAGGCACCACCCGCUCACCCUUGAGGGGCUGUUGUUGCAGCAGAAAGCGGCAGUUUGUCCUGGUGCAUGUAACUUUCCCGAUUAAUUGUGUAUUGCUGGUUUAUCCAGCAUGUCCGUGUGGAGCUUGAGGCAAACUGUACUGCUCUUCUUUAGCCUGUGGCUGAGUUUCUUAUUCUGAAAUGAUCCCCAAAUCCCCUUGUGAAACUAGUCAUUUGAUUCCACACUGGUCAAAUUUUGUGUUUCUAGGUUGUGGAGUGAGAGUUCCCAUGCACUCCUGUAUGGCAUUUGCUGCCUCCUUAUUCUGGCAUCACAUUUGACUAAGCCUCUUUCCACUGGCCGUAGCCUGAGGUGGUUGAACAGCGUAUACGUGUCUUCUGUUCUGAAAAUCAGAGAUAACUGCUCCUAACACCUGUGUGGGCCUUGAAUCAACAGUUAUUCUUUGUUUCCCUUAAUUUUUAAGAAACUAGAUUUCAAAGCCAAUACUUAAUGGGUGAGUCACCAUGGUGGUAAGUACUAUAUUCUGCACUAGAGCAAGUGCCACGAGUGUAGGAAGUGUCUUUUCCACACUCCUGUGAUGUUUCCUGAGUUAACUGCUAGUGCUUUUAUUCUGUGUUUAUGCACAUGAAGAAAUGUAAACCUUUGCAUUGUAUAAAAUGUUUUUACUGUCAGGGCGAAAUAGUCACGAUGGGCGGUGGAAAAUAAAUCUGCAAAUGUCACCAGUGAUCCUUGGGGACUUAGCAGUCCUUCCUUUAUCCUUCCUUAUUCUGGAGAAGAAGACGUAACAUCCAACACUGCCUCUGGGUACGAGGUCCUCUGUGUAUGUUGUGACAGAAGUUGCUGAAGUUCUAGGUCUGUGCUCUUUUUCUAAUGAGCAUUCAGUUUUGAGAUACUUCUUUAAGAAGUUUGGGUGCAGUUACAGGUCCCAGUAACCUAAGUAGGAUCUCUCUCAAAACAGUGUUUUUCUUUGAAUGGAGCGUGCCUUUCUAACGCACAGAAGAGCUGCAUUAUUCAUCAGAAUAUUACGCCUUUUCUUGGGCAUGAGUUGAAUCUCAGGGUUGACUCAAUACAGUACAAGAAUACAAGCCAUCAAGUCAAGAAUUUAGAAGAAUGAAGUGUUUUCCGCUUAGUUUUUCCUAGUAAGGAGUUCUGUCUUGUGUGACCUGAGCUAAGACCUGUUUCUUGUGUUCAUAGUCACGUCUGUCCAGUGUCUCCAUCAUUCAUGUCAAGUAGCAGAGCAAUUUGCUGACUAAACUCGAAGAAGUCAUGAAGUGGGAUCUCUCUUCAUGAAAGUAUUUUUUUCUCCUCUGUUGGGAGACCUAAAUCCUGCCUUUCUCUGGAACAGUCGUUUAUUGAGCAGUCAGUGAGGCAAUCCUAAAAAGACAUUCAGACCAAGAUGUUCAAAUGCAAGUACCUAAAUGUGUGUGGCAGGCACUGGCAUGAAGGUUCAGAGACCUUUUCUGUAGUGCCAAGUGUCAGCCUCUUGCUUCUUUGUCUGCAGGGAAUGUCACACCAUGGAUUUAAAUUCAUUAUUUUGGCUAGUACCAUUCACAAUGAGACACUGGCUGUCAGAAAUUACUUAGUAAAUGAGUUUGCAGGAGAGUGGAAAGGGUAAGAAGAGAUGAGAGCAGGGAGACAUCUUGACGUGAGAAUCAGGAACUUGUCAGCAGAGUGGUGGAUGGUUUGGAUCCUCCACUACCAGUCAGGCUCCCCCUGUCCUGAGUCCAGCUUUGGCUCGUGACUUAAGCAAAGCAUGGAAUUCACAGGCAUGAAAAAAAUGUAAAAUGUCAGUGUGGCAUUACUUCACCACCUUGUGCCUAAGACAGAAAAUACGCUGUGUCGUUAUGAGAAUGACGUGCAGAAGAGCCCACAAGAAGCCAGUAGAAGAGGAGCAAUGGUGUCAUCUUAAAAGAAUUUAGCUGACACACUUGGAAAAGUUACAAAUGGCAUGAAAUGGCAUUUAUCAGGUAUUUACAGUUUGGUCUAGGUUGGAUGGUUUUCCACAGGGAUGCUGAAAAGGACCCAAGCCUCAAGGCUUCCUUCUUUUAAAGCUGUGAUUGCAUGACGGUUUUGGUCACCUCUGCCAACACGAGAAGGUGUGCAGACUUCUUAACAAGGUGACUAACUAGCAGAUCUUUUUUUUUUUUUUUUCUGUGAGCAAAUAAUUUUCUGUGUCUUAUUGUUUUAAAUGUGUGAACUAUGUUACCUGUGGGGUCUUGUUCAGUUCAGAGGGUCUUUUUAAGCGAGCCUGGUGAAUGUGCCUAGCAUGGGCAGCUCAAGUAAUUUCAGUUGGCAAAUUUGCAAGCAAAGAAAAACAUGAUCUUCUAGUGAAAAGCUUAGGGAGAUGUCAUGUGUGGGUGCCUCUUAGAAGCAGCAACCGAGUAGUUUGAGCUAUGGUAUGAAUGAAGAGAUGAACAGCCGUGUGACCACAUCUGGUACAGAACACACUUGAAGAGUGCUAGAGAGGGAGCAAGGCUCUACAGGUUCUUCCCAUCAAAACAUCUCUCAGUGAUGACCAAUAAUAAAUAACUGUUCUUUGUGUGCUGUGAA